UACGUAUGGUGCAAGCGUUAUCCGGAUUUACUGGGUGUAAAGGGAGCGCAGGCGGAAGGCUAAGUCUGAUGUGAAAGCCCGGGGCUUAACCCCGGUACUGCAUUGGAAACUGGUCAUCUAGAGUGUCGGAGGGGUAAGUGGAAUUCCUAGUGUAGCGGUGAAAUGCGUAGAUAUUAGGAGGAACACCAGUGGCGAAGGCGGCUUACUGGACGAUAACUGACGCUGAGGCUCGAAAGCGUGGGGAGCAAACAGG
rnacentral:rRNA from 1 species